UACGGAGGGUGCAAGCGUUAUCCGGAUUCACUGGGUUUAAAGGGUGCGUAGGAGGGCAGGUAAGUCAGUGGUGAAAUCUCCGAGCUUAACUUGGAAACUGCCGUUGAUACUAUCUGCCUUGAAUAUUGUGGAGGUGAGCGGAAUAUGUCAUGUAGCGGUGAAAUGCUUAGAUAUGACAUAGAACACCAAUUGCGAAGGCAGCUUACUACACAGUUAUUGACGCUGAGGCACGAAAGCGUGGGGAUCAAACAGG
rnacentral:rRNA from 1 species